rnacentral:rRNA from 1 species
AACGAACGCUGGCGUCAUGCCUAACACAUGCAAGUCGAACGAGACCUUCGGGUCUAGUGGCGCACGGGUGCGUAACGCGUGGGAACCUGCCCUUAGGUUCGGAAUAACUCCCCGAAAGGGGAGCUAAUACCGGAUAAUGUCUUCGGACCAAAGAUUUAUCGCCUUUGGAUGGGCCCGCGUUGGAUUAGCUAGUUGGUAGGGUAAAAGCCUACCAAGGCGACGAUCCAUAGCUGGUCUGAGAGGAUGAUCAGCCACACUGGGACUGAGACCCGGCCCAGACUCCUACGGGAGGCAGCAGUGGGGAAUAUUGGACGAGGGGCGAAAGCCUGAUCCAGCAAUGCCGCGUGAGUGAUGAAGGCCUUAGGGUUGUAAAGCUCUUUUACCCGGGAUGAUAAUGACAGUACCGGGAGAAUAAGCUCCGGCUAACUCCGUG